GGUGAAGCAGACAAUAAACAAGUAAACAAAUAAAGCUUCCAUUUUUUUUUUUUUUUAAAGACGGAGUUUCACUCUCGUUGCCCAGGCUGGAGUGUAAUGGGGCAAUCUCAGCUCACUACAACCUCCACCUCCUGGGUUCAAGCAAUUCUCCUGCCUCAGCCUCCUGAGUAGCUGGGAUCAAGGUGCGCACCACCACGCCCAGCUAAUUUUUGUAUUUUUAAUAGAGAUGAGGUUUCACCAUGUGGGCCAGGCUGGUCUCAAACUCCUGACUUCAGGUGAUCCACCCGCCUCAACCUCCCAAAGUGCUGGGAUUACAGAUAAUGAGUCACUGCGCCUGGCCAUAAAGCUUCCAUUUAUUAAAUGCUAACUAUGUGCCAAGCACUAUACUAAGUGCUAUACAUACAUUAUCUAAUUUAAAGCUCAUAUAUUUUCUUGUAAGGAUGAAGCAGUGAAUGCACAAUUAUUUAACCUCUGUCUCUGAAACCCAAUGAAAUAAAACACACACACACAGACAUACACACACUCCAAAAAAGAAGAGAGAGAAAAAUUUGUCUAGCAUGAAUCUAGGAAAGGGACACCAACUUCCUCAAAAUAUACUACAAAAAAGAGCUGCCAGAUACUACAAAAUUUAGACCAAAGUGAAGAGGCAUACUUAAUGUUAACAUCUCUUUCUGUAAAGAUUAGUCAAGGAAUAAGUUUAUUUAAGAAUAAGUAAAAGGCCAGGCAGGAUGGCUCAUGCCUGUAAUUCCAACACUUUGAGAGGCCAAGGAAGAAGGACUGCUUGAGGCCAGGAGUUCAAGACCAGUCUGGGCAACAUAGGGAGACCUCAUCUCUACAAAAAAUUUUAAAAGUUAGCCGGGCAUGGUGGUGCGCACCUGUAGUCCCAGCUACUUGGAAGGCUGAGACAGGAGGAUUGCUUGAGCCUAGGAGUUCGAGGUUACAGUGAGCUAUGAUGGUGUUACCAUACUCCAGCCUGGGUAUGGUAUUUUAAAUAAAAACAUUUAAAAAUAAUUUUCUGGCCAGGCACGAUAGCUCAUGCCUGUAAUUCCAGCACUUUGAGAGGACAAGGCAGAAGGAUGGCUUGAGUCCAGGAAUUCAAGACCAUCCUGGGCAACAGAGUGAGACUCCUUUGCUACAAAAAAACAUGGUGGUGCACACCUGUAGUCUCAGCUACUUGGGAGGCUGAAGACUUGGGAGGCUCCUUGAGCCCAGGAGGUCGAGGCUGCAGUGAGCUGUAAUCACACCACUGCACUCCAGCCUGGGCAACAAAGCAACACCGUCUCAAGUAAAUAAAUAAAUGAAUUUAUUUUUUAAAAAGAAUGAGUUGGCCAGGCACGGUGGCUCACACCUGUAAUCCCAGCACUUUGAAAGGCUGAGGCAGGCGUAUUGCCUGAGGUCAGGAGUUCGAGACCAGCCUGGCCAACAUGGUGAUCUGCCCACCUUGGCCCCGCAAAGUGCUAGGAUUACAGACUUGAGCCACUGUGCC
rnacentral:lncRNA from 10 species